GGGAACGUGGCUCAGUGGUAGAGUGCUUGCCUUGCAUGCAUGAGGCCCUGGGUUUGAUUCCUCAGCACCA
rfam:Dipodomys ordii contig_6880, whole genome shotgun sequence.